UGGGGGAUUUUGCACAAUGGGCGCAAGCCUGAUGCAGCGACGCCGCGUGAGGGAUGAAGGCCUUCGGGUUGUAAACCUCUUUCGUUGGGUUGAAAGGCCAUGCUUUGGGUGUGGUUGAUUUGAACUGGUAAAGAAGUACCGGCUAACUACGUGCCAGCAGCCGCGGUAAUACGUAGGGUACUAGCGUUGUCCGGAUUUAUUGGGCGUAAAGGGCUUGUAGGUGGUUUGUCGCGUCUGUCGUGAAAUCCUGUGGCUUAACCAUGGGCUUGCGGUGGGUACGGGCAGGCUUGAGUGCGGUAGGGGAGACUGGAAUUCCUGGUGUGGCGGUGGAAUGCGCAGAUAUCAGGAGGAACACCGGUGGCGAAGGCGGGUCUCUGGGCCGUUACUGACACUGAGGAGCGAAAGCGUGGGGAGCGAACAGG
rnacentral:rRNA from 1 species